rnacentral:pre_miRNA from 1 species
UUUGGUUGCUGUGUUCAAUGUUUGAUCGUCUGUUUUAUUUUAUUUUUUUUAUCAUUACUAUUUUUAUUAUUUUAGAUGAUAAAAUAUUAAUACUGCUUUAUGCGUGACUUAUUUUUUAAAAUUUUUCAUAAAUUUUUUAAAUAAAAAGAACGGUUAAACGUUGAAAAAUACUUAAA